AGUGAAGCGGGAAGAGCUCAAAUUUAAAAUCUGGCCGGGUUACCGGUCCGAGUUGUAGUUUAUAGAAGUGUUUUCGGCGGCAACCUGGGUACAAGUCCUUUGGAACAGGGCAUCAUAGAGGGUGAGAAUCCCGUCCAUGACCCAGUGGAUGCUGCUAUGUGAUACACUUUCAAAGAGUCGAGUUGUUUGGGAUUGCAGCUCAAAAUGGGUGGUAAAUUUCAUCUAAAGCUAAAUACAGGCGAGAGACCGAUAGCGAACAAGUACCGUGAGGGAAAGAUGAAAAGAACUUUGAAAAGAGAGUUAAACAGUGCGUGAAAUUGUUGAAAGGGAAACGUUUGGCACCAGUCAUGCGUGCAGGAAAUCAGUCUAUUCAGGUGGGGAGUGGCAGGAGUUUGGACCGCAAGGCCAGCUUUUGUUGCAUUUCUGUUUGAAUGGAUGCACUUUUCUGUAUGCAGGUCAACAUCAGUUUUGUUUGCCGGACAAAACCUCAAGGGAAUGUGGCAGCUUUGGCUGUGUUAUAGCCCUGGGGCGAUACGGUGGACGAGACUGAGGCUUUCAGUGUGUGCUUUCGGGCAAGGCCGACCGGGUGCUCUGAGCUAGCACGGGGUACAAUACAUGUAUUUUGCUUCGUGUCUGGAUUAUACUCGCUCGAAUCGGCUCUUCCACGCUUAGGAUGUUGACAUAAUGGUUCUAAACGACCCGUCUUGAAACACGGACCAAGGAGUCUAACAUAUAUGCGAGUGUUUGGGUGGCAAACCCAUGCGCGUAAUGAAAGUGAACGUAGGUGCGAUCCGCAAGGUGCAGCAUCGACCGAUCUUGAUAUUUUUGGAUAGAUUUGAGUAAGAGCAUAUAUGCUGGGACCCGAAAGAUGGUGAACUAUGCCUGAAUAGGGUGAAGCCAGAGGAAACUCUGGUGGAGGCUCGUAGCGAUUCUGACGUGCAAAUCGAUCGUCAAAUUUGGGUAUAGGGGCGAAAGACUAAUCGA
rnacentral:rRNA from 2 species